rnacentral:rRNA from 1 species
GCCAGCGAAUAUUGGACAAUGGGCGAAAGCCUGAUCCGUAAUACCGCGUGUGUGAAGAAGGUCUUCGGUUAUCCAAAGCACUUUAAGUUGGGAGGAAGGGCAAGCACUAAUACGUUAGUGUUUUGAAAAUUACCGACAGAAUAAGCACCGGCUAACUUCGUGAGGUCAGCCGCGGUAAUACGAAGG